rnacentral:rRNA from 1 species
ACAUUACANUAAUGCCCAUGACACCUUGCUCAGCCACACCCCCAAGGGAGCCCAGCAGUGAUAGACAUUAAGCAAUAAGCGAAAGCUUGACUUAGUCAAAGCUAAAGUAGGGCCGGUAAAACUCGUGCCAGCCACCGCGGUUAUACGAGAGGCCCAAGUUGAUAGGCAUCGGCGUAAAGAGUGGUUAGGACGAAUAUAAGACUAAAGCCGAACACCAUCCAAGCUGUUAUACGCAUAUGAAGGUAUGAAGCACAACCACGAAAGUGGCUUUACAUCCUCUGACUCCACGAAAACUAUGACACAAACUGGGAUUAGAUACCCCACUAUGCUUAGCCGUAAACAUUGAUAGCACACUACACCCGCUAUCCGCCUGGGGACUACGAGCACUAGCUUAAAACCCAAAGGACUUGGCGGUGCUUUACACCCACCUAGAGGAGCCUGUUCUAGAACCGAUAAUCCCCGUUCAACCUCACCCCUUCUCGCCCAACA